AUAAGGGCGCACGGUGGAUGCCUUGGCACUAGGAGCCGAUGAAGGACGGGACUAACACCGAUAUGCUUUGGGGAGCUGUAAGUAAGCUAUGAUCCAGAGAUUUCCGAAUGGGGGAACCCAAUAUCUUUUAUAGGAUAUUACUUUUCAGUGAAUACAUAGCUGAUUAGAGGUAGACGCAGAGAACUGAAACAUCUUAGUACCUGCAGGAAGAGAAAGAAAAUUCGAUUCCCUGAGUAGCGGCGAGCGAAACGGGAAGAGCCCAAACCAACAAGCUUGCUUGUUGGGGUUGUAGGACUCCAAUAUGGUAGUCUGUUAGUAUAGUUGAAGGAUUUGGAAAAUUCCGCUAAAGAGGGUGAAAGCCCCGUAGACGAAAUGCUGACAACACCUAGGAGGAUCCUGAGUACGGCGGAACACGAGAAAUUCCGUCGGAAUCCGCGGGGACCAUCCCGCAAGGCUAAAUACUCCCUAGUGACCGAUAGUGAACCAGUACCGUGAGGGAAAGGUGAAAAGCACCCCGGAAGGGGAGUGAAAUAGAUCCUGAAACCGUGUGCCUACAACAAGUCAAAGCUCGUUAAUGAGUGAUGGCGUGCCUUUUGUAGAAUGAACCGGCGAGUUACGAUUGCAUGCGAGGUUAAGUCGAAGAGACGGAGCCGUAGCGAAAGCGAGUCUGAAUAGGGCGAAUGAGUAUGUAGUCGUAGACCCGAAACCAUGUGAUCUACCCAUGUCCAGGUUGAAGGUGCGGUAAAACGCACUGGAGGACCGAACCCACGUACGUUGAAAAGUGCGGGGAUGAGGUGUGGGUAGCGGAGAAAUUCCAAACGAACUUGGAGAUAGCUGGUUCUCUCCGAAAUAGCUUUAGGGCUAGCCUCGGAAUUGAGAAUGAUGGAGGUAGAGCACUGUUUGGACUAGGGGCCCAUCUCGGGUUACCGAAUUCAGAUAAACUCCGAAUGCCAUUCAUUUAUAUCCGGGAGUCAGACUGCGAGUGAUAAGAUCCGUAGUCGAAAGGGAAACAGCCCAGACCACCAGCUAAGGUCCCAAAAUAUAUGUUAAGUGGAAAAGGAUGUGGGGUUGCACAGACAACUAGGAUGUUGGCUUAGAAGCAGCCACCAUUUAAAGAGUGCGUAAUAGCUCACUAGUCGAGUGACCCUGCGCCGAAAAUGUACCGGGGCUAAACAUAUUACCGAAGCUGUGGACUACACCAUUAGGUGUAGUGGUAGGAGAGCGUUCUAAGGGCGUUGAAGGUCGAUCGUGAGGACGGCUGGAGCGCUUAGAAGUGAGAAUGCCGGUAUGAGUAGCGAAAGACAGGUGAGAAUCCUGUCCACCGUAUGACUAAGGUUUCCUGGGGAAGGCUCGUCCGCCCAGGGUUAGUCGGGACCUAAGCCGAGGCCGAUAGGCGUAGGCGAUGGACAACAGGUUGAUAUUCCUGUACCAGUUGUUUUUGUUUGAGCAAUGGAGGGACGCAGUAGGCUAAGGAAUGCAUGCGAUUGGAAGUGCAUGUCCAAGCAAUGAGUCUUGAGUAGAGUUAAAUGCUUUACUCUUUAAGGACAAGUUGUGACGGGGAGCGAAAUAAUAGUAGCGAAGUUCCUGAUGUCACACUGCCAAGAAAAGCUUCUAGUGAGAAAACAACUGCCCGUACCGUAAACCGACACAGGUAGUCGAGGAGAGUAUCCUAAGGUGAGCGAGCGAACUCUCGUUAAGGAACUCGGCAAAAUGACCCCGUAACUUCGGGAGAAGGGGUGCUGACUUCGGUCAGCCGCAGUGAAUAGGCCCAAGCGACUGUUUAUCAAAAACACAGGUCUCUGCAAAAUCGUAAGAUGAAGUAUAGGGGCUGACGCCUGCCCGGUGCUGGAAGGUUAAGAGGAUGGGUUAGCUUCGGCGAAGCUCAGAAUUGAAGCCCCAGUAAACGGCGGCCGUAACUAUAACGGUCCUAAGGUAGCGAAAUUCCUUGUCGGGUAAGUUCCGACCCGCACGAAAGGCGUAACGAUUUGGGCACUGUCUCAACGAGAGACUCGGUGAAAUUUUAGUACCUGUGAAGAUGCAGGUUACCCGCGACAGGACGGAAAGACCCCAUGGAGCUUUACUGUAGUUUGAUAUUGAGUGUUUGUACCACAUGUACAGGAUAGGUAGGAGCCGAUGAGACCGGA
rnacentral:rRNA from 1 species